GUAUGGAGCUUAGUGGUAGGGCAUCUGGUUUGCAUGAAGAAGGUCCCAGGUUCAGUCCCUGGCACUGUUCA